ACGUAGGGUGCGAGCGUUAAUCGGAAUUACUGGGCGUAAAGCGUGCGCAGGCGGUGAGCUGUGUCCUGUGUGAAAGCCCCGGGCUCAACCUGAGAACUGCAUUGGAAACUAACGGGCUCGAGUGUGGCAGAGGGGGGUGGAAUUCCACGUGUAGCAGUGAAAUGCGUAGAGAUGUGGAGGAACACCGAUGGCGAAGGCAGCCCCCUGGGCUAACACUGACGCUCAGGCACGAAAGCGUGGGGAGCAAACAGGA
rnacentral:rRNA from 1 species